GGCGACAUAGUUUAAUUGGCAAAACGGAAGGCUCAUAAUCUUCAAAACAGGGUUCGAGCCCCUGUGGCGCUU
rnacentral:tRNA from 1 species